CAAUAGCGUAUAUUUAAGUUGUUGCAGUUAAAAAGCUCGUAGUUGGAUUUCGGAUGGGUGCGGCCGGUCCGCCGUUUUGGUGUGCACUGGCUGCGUCCAUCUUGCUGUCGGGGACGCGCUCCUGGCCUUAAUUGGUCGGGACGCGGAGUCGGCGAAGUUACUUUGAAAAAUUAGAGUGUUCAAAGCAGGCCUACGCUCUGAAUACAUUAGCAUGGAAUAACGCGAUAGGACUCUGGUCUUAUUGUGUUGGUCUUCGAGACCGGAGUAAUGAUUAAGAGGGACAGUUGGGGGCGAUUCGUAUUUCAUUGUCAGAGGUGAAAUUCUUGGAUUUAUGAAAGACGAACUUCUGCGAAAGCAUUUGCCAAGGAUGUUUUCUAUUAAUUCAAGAACGAAAGUUAGGGGGCGUCGAAGAUGAUCAGAUACCAU
rnacentral:rRNA from 1 species